CAGCCCUUUAGAGACACUCUGAAGAGCUACAGCUACAGGUUUCAAACAGAUCACUGAGUCUGUAGCAGAAUUUCCUCCCUCCUGUAUUGUACCAGUACCAGUAUUGGAGACACAAAGAGAGCAAAAUAGAUAUCUGGGGAUCACAACAACAUUGAAAAGGUUAAGCGAACAGGUGCAAAGCUGAAAUCAAUGGCGUAUCAAAUGAGACUCCCCACACUGUUGCUUACCUUUAUUCUCUGCUGUGGAGUUAUUGAUCCUGGAGACGGCGUGUAUUCCCUGCCACACCGCAUCAAACGUUAUGCACCUGAAGUGAUUCCUGACCUGUCUACCAAUGAUAUGACAUUCAUAGCAGUAAGAGAUCCCAGGCGCAUAACAGAACCCCAUAACCAGAACCAGAGAACUCAAGCAGG